AAUACAUGCAAGCUGUUGAAGAUCUGGUUGUCCCAAGGACUGAAUUUGGUAAUGCAUCAUAGAAAGAGCAUUACCAUGUGAAGGAAUCGGCUACAAUGGAUUUCCAAGAGGUUGUGCAGAUGACAAACUUCUGUGGGCAAAGAAAUCUAGGACUGGAGACCCAUUGGAGACAAAAUAUCUUUACAAUGCAAGCCCAAAAAGAAGCUCUGCCUGAUAUGCAAUGCAAAGACAAGUUCCUCUUUUAGAGUGUCAUUGCAAGUCAUGCAGCAACCACAAAGGACCUUGUGUUUUCUCUAGGAGUGGAGCACAUCAUGGAUGAUUUUUUAUUUAUUUUCAAUGUAU